GAUGAACGCUGGCGGCGUGCCUAAUACAUGCAAGUCGAGCGAACAGACGAGGAGCUUGCUCCUCUGACGUUAGCGGCGGACGGGUGAGUAACACGUGGAUAACCUACCUAUAAGACUGGGAUAACUUCGGGAAACCGGAGCUAAUACCGGAUAAUAUAUUGAACCGCAUGGUUCAAUAGUGAAAGACGGUUUUGCUGUCACUUAUAGAUGGAUCCGCGCCGCAUUAGCUAGUUGGUAAGGUAACGGCUUACCAAGGCAACGAUGCGUAGCCGACCUGAGAGGGUGAUCGGCCCCACUGGAACUGAGACACGGUCCAGACUCCUACGGGAGGCAGCAGUAGGGAAUCUUCCGCAAUGGGCGAAAGCCUGACGGAGCAACGCCGCGUGAGUGAUGAAGGUCUUCGGAUCGUAAAACUCUGUUAUUAGGGAAGAACAAAUGUGUAAGUAACUAUGCACGUCUUGACGGUACCUAAUCAGAAAGCAACGGCUAACUACGUG
rnacentral:rRNA from 1 species